AUGCAGAAUUCAGUGAAAUCAUCGAAUCUUUGAACGCACAUUGCGCCCCUUGGUAUUCCAWGGGGCAUGCCUGUUCGAGCGUCAUU
rnacentral:rRNA from 1 species